CCAAAGGCCCUUUUAAGGGCCCCCACUAUUUCAGGAAAAGGCUGU
rfam:Xenopus tropicalis strain Nigerian Chr03_contig_3067, whole genome shotgun sequence.